AGUGAACGCUGGCGGCAGGCCUAACACAUGCAAGUCGAGCGGCAGCGGGUCCCCGCGAGGGGAUGCCGGCGAGCGGCGGACGGGUGAGGAACACAUCGGAAUCUGCCUGGUUGUGGGGGAUAACGUAGGGAAACUUACGCUAAUACCGCAUGCGACCCUGAGUCGACGGACUGGGGUGAAAGUGAGGACCUUCGGGCCUCACGCGACCAGAUGAGCCGAUGU
rnacentral:rRNA from 1 species